CACGCCCUAAACGAUGUCAACUAGGUGUUGGGUGGGUAAAACCAUUUAGUACCGGAGCUAACGCGUGAAGUUGACCGCCUGGGGAGUACGGCCGCAAGGUUAAAACUCAAAGGAAUUGACGGGGACCCGCACAAGCGGUGGAUGAUGUGGAUUAAUUCGAUGCAACGCGAAAAACCUUACCUACCCUUGACAUGUCCAGAAGCUCUUAGAGAUUUGAGUGUGCCCGAAAGGGAACUGGAACACAGGUGC
rnacentral:rRNA from 1 species